rnacentral:rRNA from 1 species
GUCCACGCCAUAAACGAUGAUGACUAGUUGUUGGAGGAGUUAAAUACUUUAGUAACGCAGCUAACGCGUGAAGUCAUCCGCCUGGGGAGUACGGUCGCAAGAUUAAAACUCAAAGGAAUUGACGGGGGCCCGCACAAGCGGUGGAUGAUGUGGUUUAAUUCGAUGCAACGCGAAAACCUUACCUACCCUUGACAUGUCAGGAACUCUGCAGAAAUGCAGAGGUGCCCGAAAGGGAACCUGAACACAGGUGCUGCAUGGCUGUCGU